rnacentral:rRNA from 1 species
AUGGCCGCGGUAUUUUGACCGUGCAAAGGUAGCAUAAUCAUUUGUCUCUUAAUUAGAGGCUUGUAUGAAUGGUUGAAUGAGGAAUUAACUUUUUUAUUUUAAAAAAUUGAAAUUAAAUUUUUAGUAAAAAUGCUAAAAUAUUUAUAUAAGACGAGAAGACCCUUUAAAUCUUUAUUAUUUUAACUAUAAUUUUUUAUUUAAUAUGAUUUAUUAGUAUAAUUAAAAUAAUUUUAUUGGGGUGAUAUUGAAAUUUAAUUAACUUUCAAUUUUUAUUUCAUAAAUAAAUGAAUUUUUGAUCCAUUAUUAAUGAUUAGUAAAUUAAGUUACUUAAGGGAUAACAGCGUAAUUAUUUUGGAGAGUUCAAAUCGAUAAAAUAGAUUGCGACCUCGAUGUUGAAUUAAGAGUAAUUCUAGCGUGUAGAAGUUUAG